GUAGGUGAACCUGCGGAAGGAUCAUUAUAGUAUAAACUAUAGCUAGGGUGCCUUAGGGUACCCUUCCCGCUAAACCUUGUAAAUUUAAACUUAAUAGUUACCUUGGUAGGCUUAACUGCCUGUGGAUAAAUCUAAAUUCUUUAAUAAACUGCCUGAAUUUAAUGUAAAUGUCUGAAUUAAUGUUAAUAUUAAAACUUUCAACAACGGAUCUCUUGGUUCUG
rnacentral:misc_RNA from 1 species